AAGUGAAGACACAAAGAAAGUGAAAACUAUAUUCUUAUACUAAACAAAAUUAUAAUUAAUUCUGAAAUUUUUUGGAGUAUAGUCUGAUUGCGAAAUAUAACGAGGCCUUCGAAUUAUUAGAUGAACUAUUUAUUGCAUUCGAAAGUCCAUGAAAUUUUGAAGUACACCCCACUUGAGCAACACCAUGUUUUCCUUGGUAAAAUUUGUCUACGAGCAUAUGUACGUAAUUAACUCAAAAACCAUUAAACAGAAAUCCGAAGCGGAGUGCACAGUAAAUUAUAAAGGUGCAACCUAUUUGGCUCAAAUUAUCCUUGCAAGUGAUGACAGGGAUCAUCUGUGUAACAUAAAGGAAAAAAAUCUUCGAGCUUUACACGAACAAAAAAACAUAAAAGAGAGCAAUGUUUCCCACAAUGAAUUUAGCAACGACACACAAACAAACAAUAUUUCGCAUUUUAAGAACACACAAAAUUGUUCCCAAUAUGCAAUAUCAGCUGUAGGAGAAUCCUUGGAGUCCAUAUCUCCUACAAAUGUUUUAAACACAACUUCUUAAAUCGUUUCAAAUGGCAUUAAAAAGGCCGCCACUUUGGCAUCAUCGAAAGCUGAUUUCAGAGAAGCUUCGCGGAACUUAUGUCUUAAUGAAACGUCAAAUGAUCAUUGGACUUCCGUAAGGCUCGACAUGUUUUCUUUGGUGACAUUUGACAACAAUAGCUGGUAUGUUGUCAAUUCCAAAUCUGUUAAAGAAUAUGACGGAAAAAACUGCAUCGUAAAAUACAAAGGAGCCUUCUAUUCAGCACAAUUAAUUUCAA